rnacentral:rRNA from 1 species
AUUGAACGCUGGCGGCAGGCCUAACACAUGCAAGUCGAGCGGAUGAAGGGAGCUUGCUCCUGGAUUCAGCGGCGGACGGGUGAGUAAUGCCUAGGAAUCUGCCUGGUAGUGGGGGAUAACGUCCGGAAACGGGCGCUAAUACCGCAUACGUCCUGAGGGAGAAAGUGGGGGAUCUUCGGACCCCACGCUAUCAGAUGAGCCUAGGUCGGAUUAGCUAGUUGGUGGGGUAAAGGCCUACCAAGGCGACGAUCCGUAACUGGUCUGAGAGGAUGAUCAGACACACUGGAACUGAGACACGGUCCAGACUCCUACGGGAGGCAGCAGUGGGGAAUAUUGGACAAUGGGCGAAAGCCUGAUCCAGCCAUGCCGCGUGUGUGAAGAAGGUCUUCGGAUUGUAAAGCACUUUAAGUUGGGAGGAAGGGCAGUAAGUUAAUACCUUGCUGUUUUGACGUUACCAACAGAAUAAGCACCGGCUAACUUCGUG